UACGUAGGGUGCGAGCGUUGUCCGGAAUUAUUGGGCGUAAAGAGCUCGUAGGCGGUUUGUCGCGUCGACUGUGAAAACCCGAGGCUUAACCUCGGGCCUGCAGUCGAUACGGGCAGACUAGAGUUCGGUAGGGGAGACUGGAAUUCCUGGUGUAGCGGUGAAAUGCGCAGAUAUCAGGAGGAACACCGGUGGCGAAAGCGGCUCACUGGACCGAAUCUGACACUGAGGUGCGAAAGCUAGGGUAGCAAACGGG
rnacentral:rRNA from 1 species